GUAUCCGAUGAGAUGAAGUCAAGUUUCGCGCCGGAAGAUAACGGCUGGGAGUAAAAAUUGCGAUUUCAGCAUUGGAGAUCCUCUAAGUCCUACUUAUCACCAAUCAAUUACCUCAAAUGAAAAGUUACCUCGCCAUUAUUGCUCAAAAAGACUGGAAGGAGUCCUGUUGAGGAUUUAGAUUCCUUCUCUUUUGAAAAGUGCAACCGAUUGAAGUUAUAAAGGGCUCUGGGGUGUUUUGCCAGGCAGAAGUGUGGAAAGCAGCCCUCCUUGCCACCUCUGCUACUGCCAUGGUGUGGAAUCUGCUGCUGGGCACAUUUGAUCUGGAGACUUUGCUGAAAAACAACCUGAAUGGUGGGAAGCCAACCAGAGGGGAUGGGGAGCAGCUGGUCGCCCUUGACCAAAUUAAAAAGGCAUCAUUAUUGAUGCUACAUUGAAGAAGUGGCCGUCAGCCAGCCGAGGGGAGAUGGGCACGUCUAUCAAUUCAAAGCUCAUGGAGC